GAUUAAAGGUGUUUUCUGAAUGUAUUAAAUUAUAUUAGCGACUUUUAACUUAUGUCACCGGUAUCAGUGGAGCAGGAGAAAAUUGUCACAGACACCGCUUACCAUUUCAGUCUUGAAGCCAAUUACUAGCACGCGCAAAUUUUUCAGGAAAGCGGCUUAGUUAAACUUUAAAUCAGCAACACAGAUGAAUAUAAAAAGAUGGCAUUCUUUCGGUUGAGAUAAGACUCCCCUGAAUUACCGGAACAAACGCAAAAAUGCGUUGAAAUUGGUUGUUAUUGUUGUUAGAGAAGUGGAUUGACAGACUCGUUAGAGUGUCAGUUUGAAUGCUGUAGACAUUUUCAUUCUUACUCUCAGCACUCCCAGUUCAAAUCCCGCCGAGGUAAGCUUUGCCUUUCAUUCUUACCGAGUUGUUAAAAUAAAGUACUAGUCAAGUACUGGGAGAAUUGGUUCAAUCAAUUAACACUCAUCCAAAUUUCAAGUUUUAUACUGAGAAACAGUAUAUUUGUCAACGCAGUCAAAAACUUUUGGUCAGCGUUGUUAAAAAUAUAUUUCUCAUUUGAGGAAUUCAUUACGAAAAGUAAACAAACGUACGAUUAUUUUAUUUGAAAGUUUCAGAAGAGACAUUAAUGAAAGGAGACAUUUCUGUCCUAGGACAAGAAUAAAACAAUGACAAAACAAACAGCCCUAUAUGUGUACGUGUUAGAAAAUGUAAUGACAUAUAGCCAUCAACGAAACAUUCGAGUGCACGAUUAACCUACGUUGAAGUAUCUCCUUAUUCGUUUCUAUAAUUCAAGGAAUCCAAGUCUGAGAGUAGUUCUUAAUAAAUCAGGAUUGUUCACCGCAGAUUGUAAUGAAAGGAAA